GUUUGGGGAGGCAGAAAGGGGCAGGCAGCUUGCUCCUGACUCCCACGUGGAGGGGCGCAGGGAGGCCUUCCCAGAGACUCCAAACCCAGGGGUACAGUCGGUUCUUCGGUGCCUUCUUGGCUUCUCUGCUGCUUGAGACUUCAGGAGCCCCCAAGACUUGGUCACCGAGGUGCCACAGGCGCCGGCCUUGACCGCACUCUCCCGCGGGCCCCGGGGCUGCUUUCCCCGGCUUUACCUUUG
rnacentral:lncRNA from 1 species